UUAAGUUAUUAAGGGCGCACGGUGGAUGCCUUGGCACUAGAAGCCGAUGAAGGACGUUACUAACGACGAUAUGCUUUGGGGAGCUGUAAGUAAGCUUUGAUCCAGAGAUUUCCGAAUGGGGAAACCCAGCAUGAGUUAUGUCAUGUUAUCGAUAUGUGAAUACAUAGCAUAUCAGAAGGCACACCCGGAGAACUGAAACAUCUUAGUACCCGGAGGAAGAGAAAGAAAAUUCGAUUCCCUUAGUAGCGGCGAGCGAAACGGGAAGAGCCCAAACCAACAAGCUUGCUUGUUGGGGUUGUAGGACACUCUAUACGGAGUUACAAAGGACGACAUUAGACGAAUCAUCUGGAAAGAUGAAUCAAAGAAGGUAAUAAUCCUGUAGUCGAAAAUGUUGUCUCUCUUGAGUGGAUCCUGAGUACGACGGAGCACGUGAAAUUCCGUCGGAAUCUGGGAGGACCAUCUCCUAAGGCUAAAUACUCUCUAGUGACCGAUAGUGAACCAGUACCGUGAGGGAAAGGUGAAAAGCACCCCGGAAGGGGAGUGAAAUAGAACCUGAAACCGUGUGCUUACAAGUAGUCAGAGCCCGUUAAUGGGUGAUGGCGUGCCUUUUGUAGAAUGAACCGGCGAGUUACGAUUUGAUGCAAGGUUAAGCAGUAAAUGUGGAGCCGUAGCGAAAGCGAGUCUGAAUAGGGCGUUUAGUAUUUGGUCGUAGACCCGAAACCAGGUGAUCUACCCUUGGUCAGGUUGAAGUUCAGGUAACACUGAAUGGAGGACCGAACCGACUUACGUUGAAAAGUGAGCGGAUGAACUGAGGGUAGCGGAGAAAUUCCAAUCGAACCUGGAGAUAGCUGGUUCUCUCCGAAAUAGCUUUAGGGCUAGCCUCAAGUGAUGAUUAUUGGAGGUAGAGCACUGUUUGGACGAGGGGCCCCUCUCGGGUUACCGAAUUCAGACAAACUCCGAAUGCCAAUUAAUUUAACUUGGGAGUCAGAACAUGGGUGAUAAGGUCCGUGUUCGAAAGGGAAACAGCCCAGACCACCAGCUAAGGUCCCAAAAUAUAUGUUAAGUGGAAAAGGAUGUGGCGUUGCCCAGACAACUAGGAUGUUGGCUUAGAAGCAGCCAUCAUUUAAAGAGUGCGUAAUAGCUCACUAGUCGAGUGACACUGCGCCGAAAAUGUACCGGGGCUAAACAUAUUACCGAAGCUGUGGAUUGUCCUUUGGACAAUGGUAGGAGAGCGUUCUAAGGGCGUUGAAGCAUGAUCGUAAGGACAUGUGGAGCGCUUAGAAGUGAGAAUGCCGGUGUGAGUAGCGAAAGACGGGUGAGAAUCCCGUCCACCGAUUGACUAAGGUUUCCAGAGGAAGGCUCGUCCGCUCUGGGUUAGUCGGGUCCUAAGCUGAGGCCGACAGGCGUAGGCGAUGGAUAACAGGUUGAUAUUCCUGUACCACCUAUAAUCGUUUUAAUCGAUGGGGGGACGCAGUAGGAUAGGCGAAGCGUGCGAUUGGAUUGCACGUCUAAGCAGUAAGGCUGAGUAUUAGGCAAAUCCGGUACUCGUUAAGGCUGAGCUGUGAUGGGGAGAAGACAUUGAGUCUUCGAGUCGUUGAUUUCACACUGCCGAGAAAAGCCUCUAGAUAGAAAAUAGGUGCCCGUACCGCAAACCGACACAGGUAGUCAAGAUGAGAAUUCUAAGGUGAGCGAGCGAACUCUCGUUAAGGAACUCGGCAAAAUGACCCCGUAACUUCGGGAGAAGGGGUGCUCUUUAGGGUUAACGCCCAGAAGAGCCGCAGUGAAUAGGCCCAAGCGACUGUUUAUCAAAAACACAGGUCUCUGCUAAACCGUAAGGUGAUGUAUAGGGGCUGACGCCUGCCCGGUGCUGGAAGGUUAAGAGGAGUGGUUAGCUUCUGCGAAGCUACGAAUCGAAGCCCCAGUAAACGGCGGCCGUAACUAUAACGGUCCUAAGGUAGCGAAAUUCCUUGUCGGGUAAGUUCCGACCCGCACGAAAGGCGUAACGAUUUGGGCACUGUCUCAACGAGAGACUCGGUGAAAUCAUAGUACCUGUGAAGAUGCAGGUUACCCGCGACAGGACGGAAAGACCCCGUGGAGCUUUACUGUAGCCUGAUAUUGAAAUUCGGCACAGCUUGUACAGGAUAGGUAGGAGCCUUUGAAACGUGAGCGCUAGCUUACGUGGAGGCGCUGGUGGGAUACUACCCUAGCUGUGUUGGCUUUCUAACCCGCACCACUUAUCGUGGUGGGAGACAGUGUCAAGCGGGCAGUUUGACUGGGGCGGUCGCCUCCUAAAAGGUAACGGAGGCGCUCAAAGGUUCCCUCAGAAUGGUUGGAAAUCAUUCAUAGAGUGUAAAGGCAUAAGGGAGCUUGACUGCGAGACCUACAAGUCGAGCAGGGUCGAAAGACGGACUUAGUGAUCCGGUGGUUCCGCAUGGAAGGGCCA
rnacentral:rRNA from 1 species